AUUUUAUGAUGAUAUUAUUUUGGUCCGUGUUUCCGAUUCACUUAUGACGAUCCAACUUCUGAUGAU
rfam:Trichinella britovi scaffold259s, whole genome shotgun sequence.